rnacentral:rRNA from 1 species
UACGUAGGGUGCGAGCGUUGUCCGGAAUUAUUGGGCGUAAAGAGCUCGUAGGCGGUUUGUUGCGUCGGCCGUGAAAACCUGCAGCUUAACUGUGGGCCUGCGGCCGAUACGGGCAGACUUGAGUUCGGUAGGGGAGAUCGGAAUUCCUGGUGUAGCGGUGAAAUGCGCAGAUAUCAGGAGGAACACCGGUGGCGAAGGCGGCAUCCUGGACCAACACUGACGCUGAGUGAGCGAAAGCCAGGGGAGCAAACGGG